rnacentral:rRNA from 1 species
AAUGAACGUUGGCGGCAUGGAUUAGGCAUGCAAGUCGAGCGAGAACCGUAGCAAUACGGGGACAGCGGCGAAAGGGAGAGUAAUGUGUGGAUAUCUACCUCCAGGCCUGGGACAACUACGGGAAACUGUAGCUAAUACCAGAUAAUGUCUGCGGACCAAAGGUGUGAUUCCUCCGGGAGAUGAGUCCACAUCCUAUUAGCUAGUUGGUAGGGUAAGGGCCUACCAAGGCAAUGAUGGGUAGCAGGUGUGAGAGCACGACCUGCCUCAUUGGGACUGAGACACUGCCCAGACACCUACGGGUGGCUGCAGUCGAGAAUCUUCGGCAAUGGGCGCAAGCCUGACCGAGCGAUGCCGCGUGCGGGAUGAAGGCCUUCGGGUUGUAAACCGCUGUCAGAGGGGAUGAAAUACGUCGGGGGUUCUCCCCCGGGUUUGACAUAUCCUCAGAGGAAGGACGGGCUAGUUCGUGCCAGCCGCCGCUGUAA